rnacentral:misc_RNA from 1 species
UCUCCGUUGGUGAACCAGCGGAGGGAUCAUUACCGAGUUUUUCUACUCCCAAACCCCUGUGAUCUCAUACCUGUACUGUUGCUGCGGCGGGUUAACGCCCCGGAAGGCCCAAAAAGCCGCCGAAACCAGGCGCCCGCCGGGGUACCCAAACUCUUGUUCUUCUUACUUUACAUGUCUGAGUGGAAUCAUAAACAAAUGAAUCAAAACUUUCGACAACGGAUCUCUUGGUUCUGACAUCGAUGAAGAACGCGGC